GCAGAACAAAGCAAACGCUUUGUACAGCAGUGUCUGAGGGAAGCUCGCCGAUUCGCAGAAGACGUGGUUCUGGAUGAAGACACGGCUCACCCUCAGCUCAUGGUGUCAGAAGCUGGAAAACG